rnacentral:rRNA from 1 species
GUCUUUUUGAUUAUAAUUUAAAGUCUAACCUGCCCACUGAAAUUUUUGAAGGGCCGCGGUAUUUUGACUGUGCAAAGGUAGCAUAAUCAUUAGUCUCUUAAUUGGAGGCUUGUAUGAAUGGUUGAAUGAGGUAUUAACUGUCUCAAUUUGAUAAAUAAUAGAAUUUUAUUUUUAAGUUAAAAAGCUUAAAUAAUAUUAAAAGACGAGAAGACCCUAUAGAUCUUUAUAAUUAAUUUUAUAAUAAUUUUUUAGAUUAAAUUUAUUUUUUUAAGGUUAAUUAUUAUAUUGGGGUGAUAAAAAAAUUUAUAAAACUUUUUUUGUAAACAAACAAUGAUAUUUGAGUUAUUGAUCCAUUUUUUGUGAUUAUAAGAUUAAGUUACCUUAGGGAUAACAGCGUAAUUUUUUUGGAGAGUUCUUAUCGAUAAAAAAGAUUGCGACCUCGAUGUUGAAUUAAAGGUAAAUUUUAGGUGUAGAAGUUUAAAAUUUUGGUCUGUUCGACCAUUAAAUC